rnacentral:rRNA from 1 species
UACGGAGGGUGCGAGCGUUGUCCGGAAUCACUGGGCGUAAAGGGCGCGUAGGCGGCAUGCCAAGCGUGUGGUGAAAGCCCGGGGCUCAACCCCGGGUCGGCCGUGCGGACUGGCGUGCUCGAGCACUGUAGGGGCGGGUGGAAUUCCGGGUGGUAGCGGUGGAAUGCGUAGAGAUCCGGAAGAACACCGGUGGCGAAGGCGGCCCGCUGGGCAGGAAGACACCGCAAGGUGUCGGCUGACGCUGAGGCGCGACAGCGUGGGGAGCAAACAGG